GAUGUGAAUUUCUUCAAAGUAAGAAAUCCUCAGAGGAAAUUGCACAGUAUAUUCAAAGCUACAAGGGAUUUGUUCAUGUAACGGGAGAACAUUUUCUGAAGUCCUGGAUCAGAAGAGAACUACCUAUGGUAUCAGCUUACUGCAAUGAGAGUGUCUUUGCUAAUGAAGAACUAAGGAUGGACACCUUUAAGGACUGGCCCCAAGAAUCACCUGUGGCUGUUGAAGCUCUGGUAAGAGCAGGCCUUUCCUACACAGGCAAAAAGGACAUUGUCCAGUGUUUUUCCUGUGGAGGAUGUAUGGAGAAGUGGGAG